rnacentral:misc_RNA from 1 species
GGAAGUAAAGUCGUAACAAGGUUUCCGUAGGUGAGCCUGCGGAAGGAUCAUUCAUAAUAAAGUGUUUUAUGGCACUUUUUAAAAAUCCAUAUCCACCUUGUGUGCAAUGUUAGAUCUCGUCAAUCUUGGCGAGAUUUUUAUACAUCAACUCAUUCUUUAACUAAUUUGUCUGAAAAAUAUUAUGAAUACUUAAUUCAAAAUACAACUUUCAACAACGGAUCUCUUGGCUCUC